rnacentral:rRNA from 1 species
UGCCUACGGGGCGCAGCAGUAGGGAAUUUUCGUCAAUGGGCGCAAGCCUGAACGAGCAAUGCCGCGUGAACGAGGAAGGUCUUCGGAUCGUAAAGUUCUGUUGAAGGGGAAAAAGAGCGGAGAGAGGAAAUGGUCUCCGAUUGAUAUUACCCUUCGAGGAAGUCACGGCUAACUACGUGCCAGCAGCCGCGGUAAUACGUAGGUGGCGAGCGUUAUCCGGAAUGAUUGGGCGUAAAGGGUGCGCAGGCGGAAUAACAAGUCUGAAGUAAAAGGCAUUGGCUUAACCAAUGUAUGCUAUGGAAACU